ACAGUCACUGACAUUAGAUACCCCGGUAGUCCAGGGUGUAAACGCUGCAGACUUGGUGUUGGGAACCCUUCGGGGGUGCUCAGUGCCGGAGAGAAGUUGUUAAGUCUGCUACUUGGGAGUACGUCCGCAAGGAUGAAACUUAAAGGAAUUGGCGGGGGAGCACCGCAACGGGAGGAGCGUGCGGUUUAAUUGGAUUCAACGCCGAAAAACUCACCAGCAGCGACUGUUACAUGAAAGUCAGGUUGAUGACCUUACUAGAUUUUCAG
rnacentral:rRNA from 1 species